UAGUGCAUUCAGCUAUUUUUCCUCCAACAACAUUUUAUUAUAGUUCAGAGUUUAACACGUAUUACAAUUCAAAAUUCCAGGAGAUGUUAUGGAAAUUGGAGGAUAUGUUGGCCCCUAUCUCAUGGGAUGUGUCCUUACAAUUGUGUAUCCUGCAAGGGUUUUCUUGCAAAUGGCAUAUAGUAGCUUUUGCAUUAUCAUUUACUAAACUGAAAAAAUCAUAUAUUAGUGGAUGCCUAUCUGUUAUCCUUCUCACCCUGCUUCAAUUUUUUAGAACUAUAGGUUUCGAGUGACUUUUUUUUAGUAAAUCAGUGACAAAUGACAAUGAGUUGCUAGAGGGCUUGAUUAUUCAGUGAGCUGAUUGUUGAGUGAUUUAUAUUUUAUGGUGCUUGAUAUCUUUCUUGAAUGAUAUUAACAGGUUAGAUUUCUCACCAAAAUAUAUCAUCCUAACAUCGAUAAGCUAGGGAGGAUAUGCCUUGAUAUUCUAAAAGACAAAUGGAGUCCUGCUCUCCAAAUACAGACUGUACUCUUAAGGUUUUGUUUUCUUUAUUGAGAAAAUGGAGAGAACGGUCAAUCCUUUGACUUUGUUGAGAGUAGGAAAGUGAGUAGCACAACAGAUGCAGCACAAGCAGUGAUGUUACCGAUGAAAGAAGAAGCUCCAGUAGCAUGAGUAGCACCAUGUACAAACCUCACAAAGUUAACGAUGUUAGAUGGAUUGCUAUUCGAAAAGCUCAAUAUCAUUACGACCUACUGCAGUUGACCCAUUUCAGAAUUCCGAAACAAGUUGGGAUGUGGAUAGGAAGGUGUAUCUACGGCUCUUCUGCUGACCUUAGAAUCAUCAAGUGGGUUGAGCCGACUUUGCAAGAUCUUGGGGCAUUACUGGUCUCGGAGGGAAGUUAUGGUUUACUAAUACUUCGGAGUAGCAAUCAUGGUCAUGAUUCACAAGAGCUUGUGCCUAAAUUUAGUCUAAAGAUAGUUGUUAUGUUCUCUUUCUUUUGAUCUAAUAAUUUAAUAUGGUUAUUUCAUAAUGAUGAAUGCUUUUUAUUGACUACAUUCAUUCAUCUGGAGUUAAAUUUGAAAGUGUUGUCAUAAUUUCCUUAUAUUUUUGUGAACCUUCGGAAAUUUGUUUAUGUAUCCUGGUAUUUUGAAGGCACAUGAUAGUGGGGUUGUGGCUGUAGAACUAUCA